AUUGAACGCUGGCGGCAUGCCUUACACAUGCAAGUCGAACGGCAGCGGGGGAGAAGCUUGCUUUUCCUGCCGGCGAGUGGCGAACGGGUGAGUAAUACAUCGGAACGUGCCCUGUAGUGGGGGAUAACUAGUCGAAAGAUUAGCUAAUACCGCAUACGACCUGAGGGUGAAAGUGGGGGACCGCAAGGCCUCAUGCUAUAGGAGCGGCCGAUGUCUGAUUAGCUAGUUGGUGGGGUAAAGGCCUACCAAGGGGACGAUCAGUAGCUGGUCUGAGAGGACGGUCAGCCACACUGGGACUGAGAAACGGCCCAGACUCCUACGGGAGGCAGCAGUGGGGAAUUUUGGACAAUGGGCGAAAGCCUGAUCCAGCAAUGCCGCGUGUGUGAAGAAGGCCUUCGGGUUGUAAAGCACUUUUGUCCGGAAAGAAAUGGCUCUGGUUAAUACCUGGGGUCGAUGACGGUACCGGAAGAAUAAGGACCGGCUAACUACGUGCCAGCCGCCGCCGUAA
rnacentral:rRNA from 1 species